rnacentral:rRNA from 1 species
AGCGAACGCUGGCGGCAGGCCUAACACAUGCAAGUCGAACGAAGUCUUCGGACUUAGUGGCGGACGGGUGAGUAACACGUGGGAACGUGCCUUUAGGUUCGGAAUAACUCAGGGAAACCUGUGCUAAUACCGAAUGUGCCCUUCGGGGGAAAGAUUUAUCGCCUUUAGAGCGGCCCGCGUCUGAUUAGUUAGUUGGUGAGGUAAAGGCUCACCAAGGCUACGAUCAGUAGCUGGUCUGAGAGGAUGACCAGCCACAUUGGGACUGAGACACGGCCCAAACUCCUACGGGAGGCAGCAGUGGGGAAUCUUGCGCAAUGGGCGAAAGCCUGACGCAGCCAUGCCGCGUGGAUGAUGAAGGUCUUAGGAUUGUAAAAUCCUUUCACCGGUGAAGAUAAUGACUGUAGCCGGAGAAGAAGCCCCGGCUAACUUCGUGCCAGCCGCCGCGGUAAGAC